GCGGAACAGGACUACAGUUCCCAUGAGCCCCCGCGGUCCGCCCUCUCCCCGCGGUCUCUGGGACAGCAUGGCGGCGGGGCUGCGUGUGAGUACGACACCGUGUCCAGAAGGGGUGACGACACUCCCUUGGCUGGGGAGCUGAUUUACCCACAGUGCAGCUGCACAAUGGUGAGGAACAGCAGCAUCUGUCUUGGAGGAGAUGGUCCUGCAGAAUCCUGGGGCUGCUGUUGCCCAAAGACAGCUUUGACCAGAGGGCAGCUGUUAUUCUGGGCUUCAGGCUGAAUUUGGCUUUGUUUGCAGAAGGUCAGUUGCAGCUUCUGACAGGCCGCCCGGCAGAGCUGGUGACAGGGAGCGUCGGCAGGAGCCAAGAUCUAGAGGAAGAUUGUUGUGGAUUGAGUGUCACAAAUGACUGCUGAUAAGUCAUGUGAAAUGGCCACAGGCUCCUCCUCACUGAUCAGUGGUUGCUGCAGCCACAUCUUGGGACCUGAUCUACAGUUGACUGGAGGAAAAAGUGGUUCCCUGCUUUCUUCUGUUCCAGAAUAAAAUAAGUUGUGGAAAA